AUCACUGCCACACGCUUGAAGGUGCCGCGGGCCGUCCUGGAGGGCAGCGUCGAGUCACAGAUUCACUUCACCCGACGGUGGAAUGAGAACAUGCCUUGGUUGUGUUACCCCAUGAACGUAGCAACCCUAUCUUGGUCAAGUUCACUCAUAGACUUACAGUCUGCAGGGAAUUGCGCCCUACACAGCUUGCAGAUGGCAGGAUAAGCUGAUAAACCAACACCUUGCCUGACUAAGUCAUCAGGGCAGGGACUACAGAAGAAUGAGGAACUAAAGACUGGACAGUAAAACUUUGGCCUCACAACUUUACAGGAAACAGAAAGGAGAUCCACCAAGCAGAAAGGCAUCCAACAGUCAACUAUUUAACCUACGGCCAAGCUCCAUAACCAGGAAGAUGAAUGAAGAUUCCCCAGGAUAGUGGAGAUAAGUUGAACUGCCAUCUUUCCUAUGAGACCAUGGCAUGUACUGCCUUUCUCUGCCAUAUUUCUUUUCUAAUAAAGUUUUCUAACAUUUUUACU